rnacentral:lncRNA from 1 species
ACUCAAGAGCUUUCACUCCACACUUGCCCACACGUUUUUGCCUCCAAGCUUCCAAGCUUUCAAGUGUCCUAGCUUUCCAAAGCUUCAAAAGCUCUCCAACUUCUUCUUCUAAUCUUCUUGUUCAUCUUUACAAGUAAGAAGUGUUGUUUGCUUUAAUAUUCCACUCCUCUAAUCACCUUUUGUGUGUGUCCACUUUGGUUGAGAGGGUUGUCUCAAUAGUACCAAAGUGUGAGAGAAGGUUUUCGAGCUCAACCAUAAAGCUCUAGUUUGGUUUUAUAGAGUUUCCGGUCGAAUCUACCUUGAAAGAUUUUUAGGUUUUUAAGAGUUCCUUGAUACUCUAAGGUACUAACUUACCCGUAAAAGUUAGAGGUUCUUAAGAGUGCCCUUGAUACUCUAAGGUGUGAGUCUACCCGUAAAAGACUGGUUCCUAAGCGAAGUAGCCUUAAAGCUUAGAGAGGUUUUUAAGAGUUCCUUGAUACUCUAAGGUACUUACUCGCAAAAGUUAGAGGUUCUUAAGAGUGCCCUUGAUACUCUAAGGUGUGAGUCUACCCGUAAAAGACUGGUUCCUAAGCGAAGUAGCCUUAAAGCUUAGAGAGGUUUUUAAGAGUUUCCUUGAUAUUCUAAGGUUUUGCCAUAACCUUUAGGCGAGUGAAUUCCGACAGUUGGUCGGGACUAGAUUAGCCCUUGUUUGGGUGAACCAGUAUAAAUCUCUUGUGUUGUUCUUUGUUAACUUUAGUUUUUAUCUUUCAUCUAAAAACAACUAAACAACACUUAAUUGAAAAGGAUCCCUCUUCCAGUUAUCUGGUCAAAUAUAGAGGUUGACUACUUUACGCAGAUCCCUCAUCCAGUUAUCGAUCUAGUCAACUAUCUGAGGUUAUAUUCAUUGCUUUAAAUCUUUAUUCAUAUAUUUGUUCAAGCAUUUACUUAUUAUAUAUAUAUCCAGUUAUCUGGUCAUAUCUUGCUUAUCAAAUAUAUAUCCAGUUAUCUGGUCAUUUACUCUAUAAUAUAACUUGUGUUUAUAAUAUAACUUAAUAUUCAUAUACUAUAGUUGUUUAUAAAACACCAUCUGAAAAGUUGACUCUGUAUUCAUAUACUGUAGUAAACUUCAAGAGCAAAAGGCAAGUCCAAUAUAUAUAAUAUUAUAAGAUAUAAUAUUAUAUUCUUUAAAAUCAUAUAAUAGUAUUAUAUUGGUAACAUUAUUAUACUAUUAUUAUUAUACAACCAUUUGUGUACUUAAGUGUGUGCAGGUAAUUCCGCUAUUAAUCUGCAUAAAUCGAAAAGAGGCUAUUAUCCCCCCUUAUAGCCUCAGAUCACGAUUCAACAAGUGGUAUCAGAGCCAAGUACCGUUGAAGUUAGACUAACAUCUUACAACAACAACUAUGGCACCAAAUGGUGAAUUCAACACUGGUCUUGCGUCAAACAAACCUCCCAGGUUCGAUGGAGUAAAGUAUGACUUCUGGAAGAACAAGAUGAAGUUAUACUUGAAGUCAAUCAAUAAUGGAGUAUGGAAGAUCAUAUUAGAGGAUUAUGAAAUUCCAACAAGCAAUGAAGAGACUUGGGGAGAAAUGGACAUCCUCAAGGAAAACAACAACUCAAGAGCAUUGAAUGCUCUAUAUGAAGCACUCAAUGAAUCUGAGUACAACAGAAUUCGAUGCUUGGAUACAACUCACAAGGUAUGGAAAGCAUCGGAGGAUCUAUAUGAAGGAACCUCUCAUGUUAAAGAAAACAAGUUGUUAAAUGCUACCUCUCAGUUCGAAAGAUUCUCUAUGAGGGAAGACGAGACUAUCGUAGAAAUGAAUAUUAGACUAUCACAAAUAGUUAAUGAUCUAGCUGAACUAGGAGAUCAAGUAACUGAGAAAAAGCAAGUAAGCAAAAUUCUGAGGAGUCUUCCAAACAAGUACUACUCCAAGAGGAAUGCUAUCCAAGAGGCUCAUGAUCUUAAUAAACUUACAGUUGUGGAACUCUGUGAAAAUCUGAUGGCUUAUGAAGAAGAAAAAUUCAUCACUAGAGCUAAAGAAGAAGAAAAGGAUAUUGCUCUUAAAAGUCAAUCUGACAAUGAAACAUCAGAAGAUGAUCUAGCAAGAAAAAUAUAGCUAAGAUGAAUCAUUCAAAACAAAAAUGGAUGACCAAGGAUGAGUUAAAAAAUUAUAAGCAAAUCAACUAUGUUAAUUCAUCUGGACACAACUCGGUAUGGGUACCAAAAAGUUAUUCAACUCUUUCAGGAAAAACAUGUGUCAAAAUGAUUGUUCGACAGUGGAUGCAUAAGGCACAUGACUGGAGAUUCAAGUCUGCUGACAGACUUGACCGACUGGCCUACUACUAAGAAGGUCAAGUUCGCCGAUAACAACGAAGGUACCAUUAUAGGUAAGGGUAAUAUAGGUAAUAUAAAUAGACCAUUUCUUAGAGAUAUUUACUUAGUUAAUGGCCUUAAACAUAAUCUUAUCAGCAUAAGCCAAUUAUGUGAUAAUGAUUGCAUAGUUAAAUUUGAAAAACAUCUAUGCUCAAUCAUUAACUCCAAGGGAGUUAUAAUUGCUAAAGGAUAUAGGAAAAACAAUGCUUAUUCCAUAACCUUUAAUCCCUCCAAGCCAACUCAUGACUUCUGCAUGAUUACAUUAAGUGAUGAAAAGACCUUAUGGCAGAGAAGAUUAGGUCACUCCAGUUAUUCUCGAUUAUCCAAACUAUCAAAAGAAGAACUGGUGACCGGACUGCCUAAAAUAGCAUAUGAGAAAAGUAAUCUCUGUGAUGCUUGUCAAAAAGGAAAACAGCAAAAAAACUCAUUCAAAUCUCUUACAGAUAUUACUACGUCCAGACCAUUGGAAUUUCUACACAUGGACUUAUUUGGGCCAACCCAAACCCAAAGUCUUGGCGGAAAAAGGUUCACGUAUGUAAUAGUAGAUAAUUACUCAAGAUUUACUUGGGUAUUCUUCUUACGAAAUAAAAGUGACUCAUUCAACGAGUUUUCAUCAUUUUGUACACGUGUACAAAAUGAGAAGGAUGUCCUCAUAAAAAGAAUCAGAAGUGAUCAUGGAGGAGAAUUCGAGAACUCUGAGUUUGAAGAAUUUUGCAAAACUCAUGGAAUAAAACAUGAAUUUGCUUUUCCCCAAGCACCCCCUCGGAAUGGAGUUGUUGAAAGGAAAAACAGAACUCUACAAGAGAUGAGUAGAUCUAUGUUAUAAGAACAUGAUUCACCACAGUAUCUCUGGGCAGAAGCUGUUAGCACGGCCUGCUAUAUAUUAAACAAGGUGAUUAUUAGAAAAACCUUGAACAAAACUCCAUAUGAGAUCUGGAAUGAAAGAAAACCAAAAGUCUCAUACUUCAAGGUCUUUGGAUGCAAAUGCUAUGUUCUCCGAACAAGAGGCAACCAAGACAAAUUUGCUCAAAAAUCUGAUGAAGGUAUCCUAGUAGGAUACUCUAGAAGGAGCAAAACCUACAAAAUUCUUCUCAAAGAAAAACAAAUAAUGAUCGAAUCAUUACACGUUGACUUUGAUGAAUCCACUCAGACAACCAUUAUGGAAGAAGAUGAAAUAGUUCCAGAACCAGAAAUCAUCAUUCCAACUGAAGAAACUACCAAUGACGAAAUCGAAGUCUUUGAGCCUCCAUCCAACAGGUUGCUCAGAAACCCACAUUCCACUGAUCAAAUCAUUGGUGACCAUCAAGCUGGUGUUAGAACCAGAUCAUCCAUUCAAGGAAAUAGUGUUCUUGACUGUUUUGUCUCUCAAAUUGAGCCCAAGAAAGUUGAUGAAGCCCUCGACGACAACUACUGGAUUCAAGCUAUGCAAGAAGAACUCAACCAAUUUGAGAGAAAUGAUGUAUGGGAACUAGUUCCACAACGAAAAGAUACAUCAAUCAUUGGGACAAGAUGGGUAUUCAGAAAUAAGCUGGAUGAAGUUAGAGCUCUAGUCAGAAACAAAGCUAGACUGGUUGCGCAAGGAUACAAUCAACAAGAAGGAAUUGAUUAUGAUGAGACCUUUGCACCAGUAGCUAGACUAAAGUCUAUCAGAAUGCUCCUAUCCUUUGCAUGCUACAAGGAUUUCAAAUUAUAUCAAAUGGAUGUAAAGAGUGCAUUCUUGAAUGGAAUAGUCAAUGAACAAGUAUAUGUUAGACAACCCCCCGGAUUCGAAGAUCACAAAAACCCUGAUCAUGUCCUUAAACUUAAGAAAGCCCUCUAUGGUAUGAAACAAGCACCCCGAGCUUGGUAUGAAAGACUAAUAAACUUUCUCAUUUCUCAGAAAUUUAGAAUGGGGAGUAUAGAUAACACAUUGUUCAUUAAAAAUGUCAAAAGUGACAUUAUUCUAAUCUAAAUCUAUGUUAAUGACAUUAUAUUUGGAUCGACCAAUGAUACUCUAUGUAAGAAAUUUUCCAAACAAAUGGAAGACGAAUUUGAAAUGAGUAUGAUGGGAGAGUUGACUUUUUUCUUAGGUCUACAAGUUAAACAGAAGGAGAAUGGAAUAUUCCUAAGUCAAGUUAAAUAUGCUAAGGAAUUAAUAAAGAAAUUUGACUUGGUUGAAUCUAAAUCUAUGCCAACUCCGAUGAGUUCAACACUUAAAUUGGAUAAAGUUGUUGAAGGUCAAUCAGUAGACAUUAAAAAAUACAGAGGAAUGAUUGGAUCACUGCUAUACUUAACAGCCAGCCGACCAGACAUCAUGUUUGCAGUCUGCUUAUGUGCCAGAUUCCAAUCAGACCCAAAAGAGUCACAUCUCAAAGCGGUUAAAAGAAUAAUCAGGUAUAUCAAAGGAACAAUUACACUUGGAUUAUUCUACCCUAAGGACAACUCAUUCACACUGACAGCAUACUGUGAUGCUGACUUUGGUGGAUGUAAAACCGACAGAAAAAGCACUAGUGGAACAUGCUUUCUGUUGGGAAGCUCACUCGUAGCAUGGUCAUGUAAAAAGCAAAAUAGCAUUGCUUUAUCCACAACUGAAGCAGAAUAUAUGGCAGCAUCUAAUGCAUGCACUCAAAUUUUGUGGAUGAAACAAACAUUAUCCGACUACGAUAUAGCUUUAGAAACAGUAGCUCUUAAAUAUGACAACAAGAGUGUAAUUUGUUUAUCAAAAAACUCUGUGUUACACUCAAGAUCUAAACACAUUGAUGUCAGACAGUCAUUUCCUUAGAGAUCAUGUAGAAAAGAAAAAUAUCUGCCUAGAAUAUAUUUCUACUGAAGAUCAAAUGGCUGACAUCUUCACUAAACCCUUAGAUCAAGAAGUUCAUUCAAAAAUCAGAAGAUCUAUGGGUAUAUGUGAGCUUAGUGAAAUUUGAUUAAUUAUAAGUCAAUGCAUCUCAAACUUUAGUCUUAAUAUUCUUAAACUAACAUCACAUUGAAAUGCAUUGAUAUAAAUCUAAGACCUAUAUGCAUGACUAUCGUAAUAUAUAACUCAUGAAAUAAACUAAGUAUAUGCAUGCUAAUUUAAUUUAUCAUAUAAUGUUAUACAUGUACUCAUGCACAAAUAAAAUGAUCUUAUGCAUGACUUAAAACUAUAUAAAGAGCUUAAUUUAAAUGCAUGUCUAUCAUACUAAUGCAUGACUAUUAUAUAUAUCAUGUUACUAUAAACAGUUGUUUACAUGGACGUGCCUAUGGGUUAAAUUAUGCAUGAUGAAUAAAAUAAAUAUGUCAUAGCAUAUGCUGAUAACUAUACUUGUGAUCCUACACAUGCUAUUAAUUGCACACGUAUGCAAAAUAAAAUAAAUUUACUUGUAUUCAUUAAAAUAUAAAAAAACUUGCAUAAUUGCAUGAACAAAAUCGUAUGUAUGAUUUAAACUAUAACACAUGCACUUCUCUAUACCAUAUAUGAAACACUAUUGCAUCUGUUCUUGGUUAAAAUAAACUCUGGAAAACGCGAUCUUCAAAGUACUAUACACAACUUUUGCAAAACCCGGAGAAAAAUCUGAGAAAUCUGCAAGACUUGACACAACGCAAGCCGAGCUACAGCACCUACAAGACUUAGGAAACCACAUCCUCGACAUUGGAGCACUUGCAACACAGACAGGAUCUGCCAAAAGGUAUCUUGAGACCACCAAAAGGUAUGUUCUAAAUUGACUACUAUUCAGUUUACAGCUUUCGAUAAUAGAUAAAAACAUGAUGAGACAAAACUCAGCAUUAUCUAUUAUCAAGUAAAAUUAAGAAUCUUGAUCUUGCUAAGAUACAAGUCACUAAAGUACAAGCCUUGCUAAGAUCCUAGCUAGCUAUUAGAUAUUAGUUUAAAAUCUUAUUAUGUCAGUUCAUGGGAAACCAAAGAAUCCUCUUUUGAAAAAGAGACUACAAGAUGAAACGAAUUUCCAUAGCUUAGUCAAACGAAGAAAUUCUUGGAAACUAAAAACAUAAACCAAAAACUUGAAAGCUUCAUCCAUAAAUACUAGUUUAGUCACUCUUAACCCAAAAUCUUCCUUUCUCACCCAUUCCUACCAUCUUCAAAAUGGAUUCUUAUGAUCCAGACUGGAAAAAGGUGAUGGAUCUCAUCACAGGGAAGAGAUAACUACUCACCUGUUUAAGGAGAUCGAUGAGGCAAAAUCAAGGAUUAAAGUGCUGGAAUCAAGUAUUAAAAACCAAGGAGUUCUGAUCGCCAACUUGCAAUAUCAAAUUGAGAUGUUAAAAGUUCCCACUGAGGAAGCUAACACCAUCACUGAUUAACCAUGGUGGUGUAAAAUCAUAUGUUUUGAUUAGCUCGCUAUGCCUACUUGAUACCAUCUGAGUUAGUUGUUCUUUUUGAUAGACGUAUCUACCUUGUUAAGUCUGUUUUGUUUAAGAUCCAACCAUAGACCUAAGCCUGCUUUAUUUUUUAGUGAAAAACCUCAAUGAAAAAAAUCAAUUUUUCACUAAGUAUUAAAAGACUUAAGAGUAGAUAUGAUUCUCAAAUAGUUCAUCAUCAAGAAUCAUCAAAAAUCCGACCAUUAAAUGAUUAACUUCAUAUCUUCAAGAUCUUUUAGAGAUCCAAAUAUUUAAGGGUUGCAUGGAUAAACUAGAAACUUCAAGGACUUAAACAUAAAUCGUUUAUGAAAUUUUUAAGUUUUAAAUAGAUUCCCUGAAACUUAAGGAUUAAAAUGAUAUUUUUACAGUGAAUAUAAAAUUAUGUAAAAACUUCAAGGACUUAGAAAUAAUAUUUACAUGAAGUUUUUUUUUUUAAUCGAAAAAAUGCUUAAAAAUAUUUAAUACUUCCAGGGUUUAAAAUGAAAUAUUUCAAAGUAUUAAUCUAAGUAUUUAUCAUAACUUCAAAGGGCUUAUAUGUAAUUUUUUAAGUGAAGUUUUAUUACUAAGACUUUAAAGACUGAAAUGAAAAUUUUAAAAUCUUUUAAAAGCUUAGUGGAUAUUUACAUUAUUACAUACUAGCCACUAAGACAUAGAUUUUAAAACUUUAAGUGCUUAAAUCUUCUUAAAGUUAUUAGUGAAUCAUGUUUUAUUGAUACAUAUCAUUCACUAACAUAUUUUAUGGAUUAUAACAUUAUAAAAUCUUUAAUCCAUACAUGUUAAGAUUAUUUUAUCCAUAACACACAUGGAUUAUUAUUAUUCAUUGCAUGAUCUUAACACAAGGUAAUUUAAAUUAUCAUACUUGCCUUAUAAAUGUAUAUCAAAAUUGGCUCCAAUCCAAUAUUUUAUCAAUGAGCAUAAAUUACAUGUUAUUUUUCCUUUAUGAUUGACUAACACUCUUAUAAGCAAGAAGUCACAUUUGGUCAACCACACAAAUCGAAUUUGUGAUCAAAGCUCAAUAAGGUAUAAAGUUUUAUUUUCUCCACAAAUUAGAUAUGUCCUAUCAUUAAGGGGGAGAUACUUCACAGGUAUCUAUUUUAACUUUGUCGAUACCUUAUUGUUUUAAGGGAGAGAAAUCAUGCAUGAUCCACUGCUUUUAAAUUAAAUAUUAUGAGUCAAUAAUUCAGGGGGAGCAUGCUCAUAAGGGUAAAAUAGAAUAUUGACUAGACAUAAAUUAAAACAUAUAUGCAAUCGACAAAGGGGGAGAAUGUAGAAUCAAAAUUAUAGACAUAGGAUUAUAUUUUAAUCAUGUCAAUUUAAACCCUAAUUACACUAUUAAUCAAUAGGGGUUAAAUAAGUCAAUCGAUAUUAAACCUAACUCCAGUUAAUUAAUUAAUCAUUUGAGUUAAGGAUUUAAGUCAAAGUUAAAAGUCAAAUUGGGAGAAUUGCAUUUUUACCUUGAAUAUUAUUAUUUGGAAUAAUUGCAUUUUUAUCUUGAAUAUUAUUAUUAUUAUUAUUAUUAUCUUUUGACACUUUAUUCAAGGUAUAAUAUUUCAGGGGAACAAAACACUAUUCAAGUUUGAAUUUAUACAAAGAUAAGAUUCUCCAACAAACUCUAUCCAAGAAAAGCACUAUUCAAGAUAAGAGCAAAGACAAAACUUGGAUUUAUGUGAGAAAUCAAGGAGUCAAGGGUGAACAUUAAGUGGUCAAGGCUAUAAAUAGAAGGAUAAGCACCUCAUUUUCACUCACCACACUACAAGGCAACUCAAGAGCUUUCACUCCACACUUACCCACACGUUUUUGCAUCCAAGCUUCCAAGCUUUCAAGUGCUCAAGUGUCCUAGCUUUCUAAAAUUUCAAAAGCUCUCCAACUUCUUCUUCUAAUCUUCUUGUUCAUCUUUACAAGUAAGAAGUGUUGUUUGCUUUAAUAUUCCACUCCUCUAAUCACCUCUUGUGUGUGUUCACUUUGGUUGAAAGGGUUGUCUCAAUAGUACCAAAGUGUGAGAGAAG